CUGCAUUUUUAUUAGUUUCACAUCAGGGUCUCACAGUUUACGAGGGUUCUGGGUAAAUGUAAACGAGUUACAGUCCAUGAGUGCCUACAUUAGCCCCGCACUGCUCGCUACUUUGCUUAGACUACUCUUGACUUAUAAUAGGAGGGAAUGUGAGAGACUUGAAGUCGUGCCCAGUCUAGACUCCAGACAUGAAUCAGAGGCCAUGUAGGAACACAAAGUGACAUCAGUAUCUAUGCAAAUGAUUCCCUUUCUUCAGAAACUGAUCAUCUGGACAGACUGACUCAGGAACUAUGACUGAUUUGUAGAACAACAGCUUGGAUGUUUAAGUUUCAGUGCACAAUUUAACUUACUAAUUCACAGCUGUUAACUAAAGACUGAGCAGCAUCUCCACAUUGCAAAUAAGCACACAGUUACAUACGUAAGUUUGGAAAGGGAAGGGAAAGGGAAGGCAUAUUUAAAAAAAUACAUGGCAGGUGAUUGGAUGGACUAACUGUCUAUUAUUGUCUUUCACAGGCUAACUUCAACCAUCAGUUCACCAGAAGGACAGUGCUACCAGAAGCGCUCAUUGGCGAAUUAAAUUCUUACCAAAGAUCACAUAAUCUCACAAUGCAGCUACCUUGCAAUUGUGGAAUUUUCCAAGCACUGCGAGCGCUGCAGUGCUCAGAGUGAUGGCGUAAAGGAAGAUGAGAAGGAAGGAGGUAGGAUGAAGGGUGAAAUGCUGCUUAACACAAACCUAAAAAAAAAAAAGAAAAAGAUGAAAAAACCUGAACCAUUGUGAUGAAGAAGCCGCCAC